rnacentral:rRNA from 1 species
GACGAACGCUGGCGGCGUGCUUAACACAUGCAAGUCGAACGGAAAGGCCCCUUUGGGGGUACUCGAGUGGCGAACGGGUGAGUAACACGUGAGUAACCUGCCCUUGACUUCGGGAUAACUUCAGGAAACUGGGGCUAAUACCGGAUAGGAAUCCUUGCUGCAUGGUGGGGGUUGGAAAGCUUCGGCGGUUUUGGAUGGACUCGCGGCUUAUCAGCUUGUUGGUGGGGUAGUGGCUUACCAAGGCUUUGACGGGUAGCCGGCCUUAGAGGGGGACCGGCCACAUUGGGACUGGGAUACGGCCCAGACUCCUACGGGAGGCAGCAGUGGGGAAUAUUGCACAAUGGGCGGAAGCCUGAUGCAGCAACGCCGCGUGCGGGAUGACGGCCUUCGGGUUGUAAACCGCUUUCAGCAGGGGCGAAGCUUGUGGUGACGGUACCUGCAGAAGAAGCACCGGCUAACUACGUG